rnacentral:misc_RNA from 1 species
GAUGAAGAACGUAGCGAAAUGCGAUAAGUAGUGUGAAUUGCAGAAUUCAGUGAAUCAUCGAAUCUUUGAACGCACAUUGCGCCCCUUGGUAUCCCGAGGGGCAUGCCUGUUCGAGCGUCAUUUCACCACUCAAGCCUGGCUUGGUGUUGGGCGACGUCCUCUUUGGGGACACGCCUCGAAACGCUCGGCGGCGUGGCACCGGCUUUAAGCGUAGCAGAAUCUUUCGCUUUGGAAGUCGGGGCCCCGUCUGCCGGAAGACCUGCUCGCAAGGUUGACCUCGGAUCAGGCAGGGAUACCCGCUGAACUUAAGCAUAUCAAUAAGCGGAGGA